GAGUUUGAUCCUGGCUCAGAACGAACGCUGGCGGCGUGCCUAACACAUGCAAGUCGAACGUGAUCCAGAGCUUGCUCUGGUGAAAGUGGCGCACGGGUGAGUAACGCGUGGAUAACCUACCCUGGUAUCCGGGAUAACAUUCCGAAAGGGGUGCUAAUACCGGAUAAGCCCACGGGCUCUUUGGAGCUUGCGGGAAAAGGUGGCCUCUAUUUAUAAGCUACUGUAUCAGGAUGGGUCCGCGUACCAUUAGCUAGUUGGCGGUGUAACGGACCACCAAGGCGACGAUGGUUAGCUGGUCUGAGAGGAUGAUCAGCCACACUGGAACUGAGACACGGUCCAGACUCCUACGGGAGGCAGCAGUGGGGAAUUUUGCGCAAUGGGGGAAACCCUGACGCAGCAACGCCGCGUGAGUGAUGAAGGCCUUUGGGUCGUAAAGCUCUGUCAGAGGGGAAGAAAUGAUAUAGUGCUAAUACCACUUUACCUUGACGGUACCCUCAAAGGAAGCACCGGCUAACUCCGUGCCAGCAGCCGCGGUAAUAC
rnacentral:rRNA from 1 species